GUGUUGGGCUCUGCAGUGAAAGAAAGACGUGGAGAAAAGUGCAGCAAAAACAGUGCAGGGAGAGCAAGACACUGAGGGGACUGAAGCACUGUUGCUAUGAGGGGCAGUGAGACCUGCAAGGUUUGUUGCAGCCAGGAGGCAAUAAUGGACAAAGGAAAUGUUGUCAGUGUGCCAUAGCAUGACCUCAGUGAUGACACCACAAUUCUUGUUUUUGUGUGUCAGGUACAUAGAAAAUGCAAACAAAGCCCACAACACCAAGCCACUGGUCUCUAAUUCUGGCAAUUAAAAGCUGCUGCCAAGGUCAGAGGGACACGGCCUGAAGGGCAGGACAUGAGAGGUCAGAUCUGGGGAAAGAAAACAGCGCCCAGUUCACAACUCACGAGGCAAGAGCUGCUGCCUGAGAAAUGCCCCAAGGGCUGGGCCAAGGCUGUGCCGCCCCUGCGGGAGCAGCAUAAAAGCCGGCCCAGCGCCUCUCUCCCUGCCACGCUUCUCCUCAAGCCUUCUCCUGCCUUCUCUGCCCACCACCAGGUGAGCCUCCAGCCCCUCACAACCCCCUCCUGCUCCUGCCACACCGCCCCCCUGGCCCCUCUCUGCCAGCACGCUCGCACCCAGCCUCAGCAGCCCUCACGCCUCCCCACAGCCCCACACCAGCCUCCCCACUGCCCAGCCCUCCUGCAACACCGCCCCGAGCACCCCCAGCGCCCGCAGCUGCCCACCACCCCUCUCUGCUCUCACCUUCUCUCACCUCCCAGGGCCCCUCCACACCACACCCAUGGCCUGCUACGACCGCUGCCGCCCCUGCGGACCCACCCCGCUGGCCAACAGCUGCAACGAGCCCUGUGUCAGGCAGUGCCAGGACUCCACCGUCCUCAUCCAGCCCUCCCCCGUCCGCGUCACCUUCCCAGGGCCCAUCAUGACCUCCUUCCCCCAGAGCUCCUUCGUUGGAUCCACCGCAGGGGCUGCCCUGGGCACGGAGCUCAACGUCCAGGGACAGCCCAUCUCCGGCGGC
rnacentral:lncRNA from 1 species